UACGGGGGGGGCAAGCGUUGUUCGGAAUUACUGGGCGUAAAGGGUUCGUAGGUGGCUUGCUAAGUCAGACGUGAAAUCCCUCAGCUUAACUGGGGAACUGCGUCUGAUACUGGCGAGCUUGAGUGCAGGAGAGGAACGCAGAAUUCCAGGUGUAGCGGUGAAAUGCGUAGAUAUCUGGAGGAAUACCGGUGGCGAAGGCGGCGUUCUGGACUGCAACUGACACUGAUGAACGAAAGCCAGGGGAGCAAACGGGAUUAGAUACCCCGGUAGUCCUGGCCCUAAACGAUGAAUGCUUGGUGUGGCGGGUAUCGAUCCCUGCCGUGCCGAAGUUAACGCGUUAAGCAUUCCGCCUGGGGAGUACGGUCGCAAGGCUGAA
rnacentral:rRNA from 1 species